rnacentral:rRNA from 1 species
CUUUUAUUAAUUUAAAUUUUAUUUUUAAGUUAAAAAGCUUAAAUUUUUUUAAAAGACGAGAAGACCCUAUAGAGUUUUAUAUUUUAUAGAUUAAAUUUAUUAAUUGAAUUAUUUUUUAUUAAAUUUAUAAAAUAUUUUGUUGGGGUGAUGGAAAAAUUUAAUAAACUUUUUUUUUAUAAAAACAUUUUUUUUUAUGAAUCUAUGAUCCAUUUAUUAUGAUUAUAAGAUUAAAUUACCUUAGGGAUAACAG